rnacentral:rRNA from 1 species
CUUUGGGGUGUGACUGCGUACCUUUUGUAUAAUGGGUCAGCGACUUAUAUUCUGUAGCAAGGUUAACCGAAUAGGGGAGCCGGAGGGAAACCGAGUCUUAAUUGGGCGUUAAGUUGCAGGGUAUAGACCCGAAACCCGGUGAUCUAGCCAUGGGCAGGUUGAAGGUUGGGUAACACUAACUGGAGGACCGAACCGACUAAUGUUGAAAAAUUAGCGGAUGACCUGUGGCUGGGGGUGAAAGGCCAAUCAAACCGGGAGAUAGCUGGUUCUCCCCGAAAGCUAUUUAGGUAGCGCCUCGUGAAUUCAUCUCCGGGGGUAGAGCACUGUUUCGGCUAGGGGGCCAUCCCGGCUUACCAACCCGAUGCAAACUGCGAAUACCGGAGAAUGUUAUCACGGGAGACACACGGCGGGUGCUAACGUCCGUCGUGAAGAGGGAAACAACCCAGACCGCCAGCUAAGGUCCCAAAGUCAUGGUUAAGUGGGAAACGAUGUGGGAAGGCCCAGACAGCCAGGAUGUUGGCUUAGAAGCAGCCAUCAUUUAAAGAAAGCGUAAUAGCUCACUGGUCGAGUCGGCCUGCGCGGAAGAUGUAACGGGGCUAAACCAUGCACCGAAGCUGCGGCAGCGAACGUAUCACUUAAAGCGAUUCAGCGGGUUACGAUUGACGGAGCGAAGCG